UGGGGAAUUUUGCACAAUGGGGGAAACCCUGAUGCAGCGACGCCGCGUGAUUUAGAAGGCCUUCGGGUUGUAAAAAUCUUUUGUAUGGGAAGAAAAUGACAGUACCAUACGAAUAAGGACCGGCUAAUUACGUGCCAGCAGCCGCGGUAAUACGUAAGGUCCGAGCGUUGUCCGGAAUCAUUGGGCGUAAAGGGUACGUAGGCGGAUAAGCAAGUUAGAAGUGAAAUCCUAUAGCUCAACUAUAGUAAGCUUUUAAAACUGCUCAUCUUGAGGUAUGGAAGGGAAAGUGGAAUUCCUGGGGUAGCGGUGAAAUGCGCAGAUAUUAGGAGGAAUACCGGUGGCGAAGGCGACUUUCUGGCCAUAUACUGACGCUGGGGUACGAAAGCGUGGGUAGCAAACAGG
rnacentral:rRNA from 1 species